rnacentral:snRNA from 1 species
CACUUUGCGCAGUGGCAGUAUCGUAGCCAAUGAGGUUUAUCCGAGGCGCGAUUAUUGCUAAUUGAAAACUUUAAGUCACUUUGGAGCUCUCUUGAGUGUUGUAUCAGAUUGUAUUACCAUUACUGUU